CUUGUCGUUGUCGUCGUCGUCGUUGUCGUCGUCGUCGUUGUCGUCGUCGUUGUCGUCGUCGUUGUCGUCGUCGUCGUCGUUAGUGGUGGGGGACUCGUGCUUUUGUGAAAGCUCAAUUGUAUCCGCCAUCUCGUGGAGCGUGCAACUCUCCUCGGUACACUCGAUACGCUUUUGCAUACGAAACCGAAUACGCUUGAAAUGACAUGUACAACAAGCUACAAAACGUUCUCGACGAAAAGAUACCAAAUGACAACCUUUUGAAAAUUAGAAAAUCAUCUGACGGAAUAUCAGCUAAAUUGGUGUUAUAACGUAACGGAAAUAAAAUCAAAUUUAACUCUUAAAGUUUAACCUUUUCUUUUUUUUUUUUUGUAAUUGUGGUUAUCAACUUGCAAACUACAAAUUAACGCAUCGUGAAAUGAAAUGUAGGGAUUUGAGAGAAAUAAAAUUGUUCGUAAAACUGCAAGUUCUGGGACGAGAACACUUGGCAGGAUUUGGUAUUUGUGGUAUUUGUGGUUAACGACUAUGAUGAAAAUGACGAGUCAACGACAACCUGGAUGAUGAUGAUGAAGAAGACGAAGAAGAAGAAGAUGAGGGAGGAUGAUGAGAAGGAUGAACGGAAACUCCGCUACGAGAUAAAGCGCACUUGGCCAGAGUCCCAGAGUUUGAGUUUCGCAAACUCUACAUCAUGAAGGUUGUACAUUCUCCGGAAUCGCACCUACUACCCACCCAGUUUACCUCUAACUCGAGAACAGAUCAUGUACUGCAAUGCGACCAAUGCGGGUCAUCCUAUCGAAAUUUAUCUUACGCGAACAGGAUUGCUCGCAUAUUUCUAUAUUGGAUACAUUGACGAUGAUUAGGGACAACGAGAACAAUAAUCGAAUAUUUUAAACUUCUUUUUCGUUUUUAUUUACUUUUCUAUAUUUCUUUUUUUUUUAUCCAUGCAUUACUACGAGUUACAUCAAAAUCUUUGAAGAUGAUAUUUUAGAGUGUUUUAGAUAUUUAUCAUUGACAAAUUAGAAUUUUCUAAUAUUUAUAUAUAUAUAUCGAUUACGAUGACUAUCGUACGUCAUAAAGAUCGACCUUGUUGCUAACGUUAUUACAAAAGACAAACAGCUUAGGGAAGAUUACGAAACUGUUGGGUGUCGUAACCAUCAAACUCAUGAAAUCCAAUAAUUAUCCUGUCGAUACGACCUUUCUCUACGACAAGAAACACUUGACAGUCUCAACGAUUGAUAAGCAUCAAUGUUUUUCUUUUUAAUUUAACACAUUUUUUUUCGUUUUUUCUUUUUUUUUUUCGAUACAAUCCA